GGGCCUCUAGCUCAAUUGGCAGAGCAGCGGACUUUUAAUCCGUCGGUUGUGGGUUCGAGUCCCACGGGGCCCACCA
rnacentral:tRNA from 1 species